ACAUAAAUACAUUUUUUUCACAAUCAUUCUCUCAUCAGCGGCGCCGACACACAAACCCUAGAAAUUCGACGACUCAGCGAUCUUCCUCUGACGACUGAAUCGCGUCGUCAACAGGAGCAAAUCGCGCCAUCUCACCCAGAUGGUCGACGAUGGUUAGAAUGGCGGUCAGAAGCUACAGCAAAAAAUCGACGGAUGAAUCGAACAGAAAUCCCUAGAAUGAGAAAUACCGUCAAACCAAACGGUGCAAGACCGAUUUCAGAUUCAGAGACCCAAUGGUCGGGUUGCGACCAUUAGAGAUGGAGAACACGAACGGUCGCAUACUCAAAACCGAAAACAAUGAACGGCAGAAAAGCAAAAUCCUAAACUGGGGCUAAACUGUGCAUUCCAGAUUCAAAAAGGUACACUAUCAUAGACUCGAACGCACCAGACUGUCAAUCAUGGUGAUAAAGGGAGCCAUUACUUAACAAAUGAACCUAUGGGAACAUAUUGUGCAUAAGGAUACUUCAUGGGAACAAAAGUAAGGUCAAACAAAGUUUUCAAAAAAUUGAAGUAAAACAAUUACUUCAGAAAUGCUAAAAUGGUUAUAAACUGUUUACAAAGAAAUAAAACAUAAACCAUGGAUUUGAACAUUGCAUCAUGAAGGCAUAAACAAAGGGACAAAUUGCAUUGGAAACUAAAGAAUGGAUUUGGAAGAAUGGAAAAUAUCAGAAAUAGGCUGCAUCCUACCAAAAAAAAGCAAUAAAAUCUCGGUACAUACAAACUGAUCAAACAUAAGAGCAUCCGCAAUGGCGCCUGUCCCGGCAGACGUCCGCCAUUGUGCAAAGGUGACGCGGAUACGGACGUCCGCUGCGGACACCGGAGUUCCGAGGCGUUCCCGGGACAUCCGUCGCGA